rnacentral:rRNA from 1 species
GACGAACGCUGGCGGCGUGCUUAACACAUGCAAGUCGAACGGAAAGGCCCGGCUUUUGUGGGGUGCUCGGGUGGCGAACGGGUGAGUAACACGUGAGUAACCUGCCCUUGACUUUGGGAUAACUUCAGGAAACUGGGGCUAAUACCGGAUAUGAGCUCCUGCUGCAUGGUGGGGGUUGGAAAGUGUCGGCGGUUGGGGAUGGACUCGCGGCUUAUCAGCUUGUUGGUGGGGUAGUGGCUUACCAAGGCUUUGACGGGUAGCCGGCCUGAGAGGGUGACCGGCCACAUGGGGACGGAGAUACGGCCCAGAGCCGUACGGGAGGCAGCAGUGGGGAAUGUAGCACAAUGGGCGGAAGCCGGAUGCAGCAACGCCGCGUGCGGGAUGACGGCCUUCGGGUUGUAAACCGCUGUCGCCUGGGACGAAGCGUGAGUGACGGUAAUGGGGAAAGAAGCACCGGCUAACUACGG